rnacentral:rRNA from 1 species
UCCGGAGGGCGCAAUCGUUGUUCGGAAUUACUGGGCGUAAAGCGCGUGUAGGCGGCCAGGUAAGUCGGAUGUGAAAGCCCGGGGCCCAACCCCGGAACUGCACCCGAUACUGCCUGGCUGGAGUCCCGGAGAGGAUGGCGGAAUUUCCGGUGUAGAGGUGAAAUUCGUAGAUAUCGGAAGGAACACCAGUGGCGAAGGCGGCCAUCUGGACGGUGACUGACGCUGAGACGCGAAAGCGUGGGGAGUAAACAGG